AUUGUUUCUCGGCCUUUUGGCUAAGAUCAAGUGUAGUAUCUGUUCAUAUUAUAAGGCUCUCUUCCUGAGCUCCAGCCUGAAAUGCUUCCCUUU
rnacentral:snRNA from 2 species